rnacentral:lncRNA from 1 species
CCGAGUAGAGGGAGGCGAACGGGCGGGAGGGACGCUCAGGCUUUUGUGGCGCAGCCGCUUCUCGCAUCUCCGGCCCCAGCCGGCCGCCCGCGGCCCUGCAGCGUCUCCAGGCCGGGCUGCGCGCCUCGGCGCACGCCCCCUCCCACUCGCACAUAUUCUCGGCCACCUCCAGGCACCCUGAUCCAGCUGCCUCCCCCACUUCGGCCAAGAUACCUUCUACACCCCCCUCGGGCCCGUCCAGCCGCUGCCCCGCCCCGAUCGGCCCUCACCGUUUAGGCAAGAGACCGCUCGCAGUCGGGCCGGGCCGAUUCUACUUGGGGAACUCACGGCGCGUGCACCUCUGGCCACCUCUGAAGAGGCGCCCCAGGUGACUGCACACCGGACUGCAGUGUCCAGCCCAGAGCCGCUGGGAGCUGGAGGGGAGGAUGUGGGAACCUGCAGUCCCAGUCCUCCCUGGGGUGGCGUGUGCGGCUCUCACUCCCACCUCCGCGGUCGGCACUGCCUCAAGGCCGAGGCGUCUGUAUGGCUUCGCUGCUGGCCGUCUGCCCUGCGCUCCUGCGCCACCACCACCGCCUGGGUUUGGAAAUGCCCGGAGGGCACAGAGUUGAUGCCUUCUUCGGAAUUUGGGGGAGUCGAUACUGGAUGAACCGCCUCUGGCAUAAGCGGAACCUCACUGCCAUCUUAGGAAGGGACACAUGGGAGCCAGCUGGUGGCACAGCGCAGUUGGCGACAAGGUAGCCCUGGUGGCCUGCGGCUUUACUCGGGAGGUGCCUGGAGGGCCCGAAGGCUAGGCGGUCAGCGAUGGCCUUGGGGAAUUCAGCACCCGAAGUACCCCCAUCCCUAUUUCCCUGUCACGAUCUUUCACCCCUCCCUCACCCGGACUGGCAGAAGAGGGCGUCUGCCGACCAGGCCUGAGGGGUUAGGGGUUACCAAUGGGGGGCACUAGGGAGUUUCAAGAGGGGCCGGCUGUGCUGCCGCCUGAGAGCCCACCAACAGGUGUCUCCUCCUUUGGAGCCACUUGGGUGGAGGGAAGGAGUACGGUGGC